GUGCUCGUUUCGGCAGCAUGCAUGCUGAAACUGGAACGAUACAGAGAAGGUUAGCAUGGCCCCUGCACAAGGGUGACACGCAAAUUCGUGAAGUGUUCCGUAUUUUU